rnacentral:lncRNA from 1 species
GUUUGUUGCUGCAGGUCCUGGGGACUUGAGUAAAUCUAUCACUGGAUGGUUGUGUCUUCCGGCUGCCGUCUUCCCAGGAGUUCCGUGAGCUGCCCAGACUCUUUGGGGAAUCUGGAAGACUCUGGAAGAAUUUACGCCCUGGUUGAAUUUGCUGAUCUGAAUGGCAACUCUUGUGCCAAAGGAAACCGAGGCUUCAGAAUACGUCGUCAUGCGCUCGGCUCAUCCACUGGAAAGUGCAGAGGCAGUAUUCGGACUGAAGUCUGCUAAUCCAAAGUUUAUACUUUCCUCCUGUACGACUCUGACUAAAGAUGUUUGUAUUCUUUUUGAAA